rnacentral:rRNA from 1 species
GACGAACGCUGGCGGCAUGCUUAACACAUGCAAGUCGAACGAAACCUCCUUGUUUUUUUGCGCUCGGCUACGUAACACCUGGGAAGUUGCCCUUACGUAUGGUACAAUUCCCUGACAGAUGAGUUCAUCCCGGUUAAUGUCUUACCACCAAAGAUUUCUUGCUUCUGAAUGGGCCUGCGUUAGAUUAGCUGGUUGGUAGGGUAAAAGCCUCCCAAGGCGACGUUGCAUAGCUGGUCGGUGAGGAUGACCAGCCACACUGGGACUGAGACACGGCCCAGAAUCCUACGGGAGGCAGCAGUGGAGAAUAUUGGAAAAUGAGCGAAAGCCUGAUCCAGCAAUGCCGGGUGAGUGAUGAAGGCCUUAGGGUUGUAAAGCUCUUUUACCCGAGAUGAUAAUGACAGUACCGGGAGAAUAAGCACCGGCUAACUCCGUG